rnacentral:rRNA from 1 species
CACCUCUUUAUCGUUUGAGCAAUGGAGGGACGCAGAAGGAUAGAAGAAGCGUGCGAUUGGUUGUGCACGUCCAAGCAGUUAGGCUGGUAAGUAGGCAAAUCCGCUUACCGCAAAGGCUGAGCUGUGAUGGGGAAGCUCCUUAUGGAGCGAAGUCUUCGAUUCCCCGCUGCCAAGAAAAGCUUCUAGCGAGAUAAAAGGUGCCUGUACCGCAAACCGACACAGG